UUAAAGGAGUCAUAUUAUACCCUAUUUCAACAAGUUAAUCUAGUUCCCUGGUGUCCUAAUGUAAUGUCUGUGACAUGCUUUGGUCAAAAUACCAUAAGGAUGAAGCACAAUAGCAGUUCAAUCACCCUGCCAAAACAGCCCUGUUCAGAACGGUAGGAUUUGAGUGCCUGUCUCUUUAAAUGCAAAUGAGACACAGGCAAUCCACCCACUUCUUCCGGGAGGUGUGCCGACGUCGGCACGCUUACGCUACCAUGACAACAGUUGAACGUGAACCCUGGGAGAAAGAUGGCAGCUGGAAGAAACUUUUCGGUCCAACCUUAUAUGUUUGAACCAGAGUCAGACCCUGAACAAGAAGGAGCUAGCGAAGAAGUUGUUCAAUGUAGACUGCAACAAGACGUUUCUGAAUGGUGUACUUGUGAGAAUUGCACAGCAAUGCCUACAGAGCCAGAGAAUGUCUGCUGCAGGGAGAUACCACAGGUGAUAAGAAGACUAAAUCAGCUUCAAAACCCACCUUCCUGCAUGGUAGACCACCCUGGCCUCGAACCAGUGUGUUUAAAUGCAUUCUCACUGCAGAAGGAACUAAAUAUCUACAGAGUAUGGGCGUUUACGUCUGAGGGGAAUAGAACACCGUUACAGGUACUUGGCCUAUAGGGGCUUUGUGAGCUGGUGUUGGGGCUUUCUGGGCCGAAGAGUUCGUGUGGCACUGCCCAGCUGUGUGGUGCUGCGUAUACGGGCGGAGUUCCCCGACGCUCAAGGCAUCUACGUGGGGUUCAGACCGGCCCUUGACUGAACCUCGUCACGUAGCGGUCUAUCACCUCCUUCUUGUCCGGCCUUUCAAACUGUGCAGUGAGAUCCUCAGGAAUGGAGAUCUUCAACACCUCAUCUGUGUAUGGACCAGGGUCCAGAAAAACCUUCUCAAACACCAGGUCCAAGAUUUCAUCCACGUAAUCUGCAACAAGAAAAAGUACAAUAUUGUGUUUAUCUAUAGUGUUUAUUUAUUAUUUAUUCAAAACACAGAAAAAGCCAUAGACACUGGUUAAUUUAUAUUUUAUUUAUUUAACAAAUAUUUUAUAGUUUCAUUUUUCAGUGUGAUUUUCAAUAAAAAAGGUUUAAAACUUA